rnacentral:lncRNA from 1 species
UCCCAGGCUAGGGGUCGAAUUGGAGCUGCAGCUGCCAGCCUACACCACAGCCACAGCAACACCAGAUCUGAGCCGAGUCUAUAACCCACACCACAGCUCACCGCAACGUCGGAUCCUUAACCCACUGAUUGAGGCCGGGGAUCCAAUCUGCAUCCUCAUGCUAGUCAGAUUCGUUACUGCUGAGCCACAACGGGAACUCCUGAGGGUGUAUUUUCAAACUCAAGGUGGACACACCAACCCAGCGAGUGCUUGUGGAUCCCUAAGUGUCAGAAGAACCAUGGCUGCAGGGAUUGAUCUGAUAUUCAUCACCACGUAGGGAAACCAAGCCUUUCACUCGUGGCCACCAGCCUAUUUUUCCAUCAUUUCCGCAGCUCUCCCUGUUCUAACUAGACAAGUUACUGCAUCUCUCAAUAACCUCUCCCACUCUCUUUUCCAGUGUGCAGGCUGGAUCUUGUGAAGGAAUCACUGUGACAGGUAAAUGCAGAAUACAUGGUAUUUUCACAGCUCAGUGUAUGUCCAAGGGUCAAAUUUAUCCAUAAUUUUCAAGAUAAUACUUAAAUGACCACUUUGCUGACUGUUACUGCUGUGCAGUGUAUAGAAGAGAUUUGAAUCAUACGAUUGCAUCAUUGGAAACUUGAUGGUGUCACUCUUAGUGAUUCCUCUCACACCCACAUAAGAUACAUUAACAACAUACCAGAUACUUUGCCUUUUUUUUUUUUUUUUUAAGGGCCGCACCCACAGCAUAUGGAAAUUCCAAGGCUAGGGGUCAAAUCAGAGCUGCAGCUGCCGAGCACAGCCACAGACACAGCAACACCCGAUCUGAGCUGCAUCUGCAACCUACACCACAGUUCCAUGGCAAUGCAGGAUCCUUAACCCAUUGAGCAAGGCCAGAGGUCGAACCUGCAUCCUCAUGGAUCCCUCAUGGAUCCUAGUCAGGUUCAUUAACCGCCGAGCCAUGAAGGGAACUCUCACACCAGUAUUUCAUUUGGAUAAAUACUGUGCUCUGCAAAGCUUCCUGGAUGGCGUUGCUGGCAGGGUCACUGUCUCCUUUUCGUAUAGAAGCAUGAGAGCCAAGUCAAGUGAACACCACUGGCAUUAGUAAGGCUCGCUUUGCCGUACUCCUCAAAUUACUGAGGACUGGGCUAAGCUGUUUCAAGCCAUCAGAGAAAGUAAAACUCUGGAGAGGAGACAAAUGAGUCCAGAAUCAACAGAACCACCUCAAGAAAGUGCAGCACUGGGAGUUCCCCUUGCGGCUCAGCAGAAACGAAUCCGACUAGUAUCCAUGAGGAUGCAGGUUUGAUCCCUAACCUCAAUCAGUGGGUUUAGGGUCUGGCAUUGCCGUGAGCUGUGGUGUAGGGAGCAGAUAGGUCUCAGAUCUGAUGUUGCUGCAGCUGUGGCGUAGGCUGGCAGCUGUAGCUCCGGUUCAACCCCUAGCCCAGGAACGUCCGUGUGCUGCAGGUGCAGCCCUAAAAAUCAAAGGGAAAAAAAAAAAAAAAAGAAUGCAGCAUAACCCGAUUCUCUUGUAAGUUUUUUUUUCAAAAAAUUCUUUGGGGGAGAAAGCCUGCUUUUUCUUUACAACUCCUAGAUUUCCUCUGCUCUUUGCUGACACAGGCUAUUAUCGACCCUGAUGGUGUUGUAGAGAUGUAGAGAAAUUCUGGGUUUUAUCGGGUGUGCAAAAUGUUUCUCGUACAGCCAACUGCCUGCUGAGAUGGCACCAUGCUGAACUAAUCCAAUGGUCCUCUGAUUAAGCUGAUGAAAAGCUGGAUGUUGUGACACACGUUGGAAGAGGCUCAGCUCGUGGAACCCUGGAUGAUAACAAAACUGCUCUCUGGUCCCACCUUACACAGUAUCACUAUCCCUUGUCACCACGACGACAAUGACAUUGAUGGCUCUUUUUUCAUCUGAAUCUGGGUUUUGCGAUACAUUUGGUAUCACAAAGUAUCACGCACGGUAACAUGACAGAGAAGAGGGUUCACGUACCCACGUUUUCAUAAAUAUGUCCUGUGAUGUGAAUGCCUCAGUUUAGCGAAGGAAGGCCAGCCGUAGAGAAACUGGGGGCCUCCCCACAUCCUUGCCCCGUUCCCUCAACGUGGCCGUGGGAUGAAAAGCAGCACCACCACUGGUGGCGUUACCUGCUCUCCUGAUGGUCCUGCACAUUGAGGCGUUCCCAUGACUCAGCAGGUUAAGAACCUAACUAGUAUCCAUGAGGUUGCAGCUUCCAUCCCUGGCCUUCCUCAGUGGGUUAAGGAUCUGGUGUUGCCGUGAGCUGUGGUAUAGGUCACAGACAUGGCUUGGAUCCCAUGUUGCUGUGGCUGUGGCAGAGGCCUGCACCUGCACCCGCACCUGGGAACUUCUAAAUGCUGCAGGUGCUGCCCUAAAAAAAAAAAAAAAAAUUGUAAUGAUAGGGUAAAACAUACUGAAGAAGUCCAUUUGCUGACAAGUCAGAAAUCAAAGCAUUUCAGUAUCAAAGUACUGGGUAAAUAUUUAAUCCCCAAAACCCCUAAAUUUGUAUCCAUUAUUUCUUAGCUCCGGUCUGGUUUUUGUUGCUCCUUCUGAUUAACCAUCAACGUUCAGCACAGGUGGCAUGUGCCCAGCGGGGUCCCAGGAUUUCUCUGUAAGGAAAAGCCAUGGCGUGACCCAG